rnacentral:rRNA from 1 species
GAUCAUGGCUCAGGAUGAACGCUAGCGACAGGCUUAACACAUGCAAGUCGAGGGGCAGCGGGGGUAGCGAUACCCGCCGGCGACCGGCGCACGGGUGAGUAACGCGUAUGCAACUUGCCUAUCAGAGGGGGAUAACCCGGCGAAAGUCGGACUAAUACCGCAUGAAGCAGGGAUCCCGCAUGGGAAUAUUUGCUAAAGAUUCAUCGCUGAUAGAUAGGCAUGCGUUCCA